rnacentral:rRNA from 1 species
CGUGUAGGCGGCUCGGAAAGUCGGAUGUGAAAGCCCUGGGCUUAACCUAGGAAGUGCAUUCGAAACUGCUGAGCUUGAGUUCUGGAGAGGAAGGCGGAAUUCUCGGUGUAGAGGUGAAAUUCGUAGAUAUCGAGAGGAACACCGGUGGCGAAGGCGGCCUUCUGGACAGUGACUGACGCUGAGACGCGAAAGCGUGGGGAGCAAACA